GAUGUGGAAAAUAUGAACUUAUAUGCACAUGUCCGAUGCAGUUUUCUUAUUCAAAUAAAUAACAUGGAAAAGGAGCAACCUCUGUUCCUUAGAAACAGGGAACAACAGUGGAAGCGUUGUUCUAGUGUUGUUCCAACUGGGUCACUCCUCUUGAGCGUUGAGCUAAAACUGUGGGACGGUUAAUCGAUAUCUGAAGAGGACAUUGUGCAGCCUAAAUGAAUCACUGCACACUGUUUAAUUUAGGCAAUGCCUUUUUCCAAUUACGGUUCAGAUUCUAAAUCUCAUUGCAAGUCAAUUGGAUCUUGGAAGACAGUUGUAUUUUUCUCAGUGGUUACUUUGCACCUGAGGCACAUUCAGACAGGUCACAUGUUUUUCUAACAUUACAACACAAUAAUUAUACUCUCUCAAUGUGACAGAUGGUGUCAUGGUAUUAUGCUGUUCCUAAAGAAAAUGAAAAUGGCUGCCAGAAGUUCAAUCUCUCUGUGCAUCUGAUCCCAGAAAUAUUGGAUGAGGAUAGGAAGACAUACAGACUUAGGAUAGAUGUUUUGUAUAAGGACAGGGAUCAAGACGCAACCAUGUCAAUCUUGAACAUCGGUCUUCUGACGGGCUUCACUGUUGACACGCAGGAUCUUGACUUGGUGACAGAUUGAGAUAUAUGAACAUAGAAAAUGUUACCGUUAAGCAUUAGACGCUUUUGAUACUCCGAGGUCUGUUUGGUUUAUUAGAUGAUUCAGGCCACGUGUUUAUUCGUGUGUACAGUUGU